GAUGAACGCUAGCGGCAGGCCUAACACAUGCAAGUCGAGGGAGAAGCCUUUCGGGGCAGCAACCGGCGCACGGGUGCGUACCGCGUAUGCAACCUACCUUUCACAGGGGGAUAGCCCGAAGAAAUUUGGAUUAAUACCCCAUAAUAUUGUUGGAUGGCAUCAUCUGAUAAUUAAAACUGCGGUGGUGAAAGAUGGGCAUGCGUCCUAUUAGCUAGUUGGAGUGGUAACGGCACCCCAAGGCUACGAUAGGUAGGGGUCCUGAGAGGGAGAUCCCCCACACUGGUACUGAGACAGGGACCAGACUCCUACGGGAGGCAGCAGUGAGGAAUAUUGGUCAAUGGUCGGAAGACUGAACCAGCCAUGCCGCGUGCAGGAAGAAUGCCUUAUGGGUUGUAAACUGCUUUUAUAUGGGAAGAAUAAGGUGUACGUGUACAUUGAUGACGGUACCAUAUGAAUAAGCAUCGGCUAACUCCGUG
rnacentral:rRNA from 1 species